rnacentral:rRNA from 1 species
AAGCGCGCGUAGGUGGUUUGUUAAGUUGGAUGUGAAAUCCCCGGGCUCAACCUGGGAACUGCAUUCAAAACUGACUGACUAGAGUAUGGUAGAGGGUGGUGGAAUUUCCUGUGUAGCGGUGAAAAUGCGUAGAUAUAGGAAGGAACACCAGUGGCGAAGGCGACCACCUGGACUGAUACUGACACUGAGGUGCGAAAGCGUGGGGAGCAAACAGGAUUAGAUACCCGAGU